rnacentral:tRNA from 1 species
AGCUUUAUAUUCAUUAUGUUGAUAAUGGAAUGCAAUUCCAUAGGGGUAAUAACUAAGUAGUUACUAAGGCUU